AAGUCGUAACAAGGUUUCCGUAGGUGAACCUGCGGAAGGAUCAUUACAAAAACAAAAUCCAAACCACACCACUGUGCUCUUUAUUGUGAGAAAAAUGUCUUUGUGUGUUGCUGUGUUGUUGGGGGAGAGGAGAAGAAUUUAUUUUUCCCCUUUCUUUCCUUCACACACACACACACACACAAGCUUUUCCUCACAUGUCUUUGUUUUCAAUUUUUCAUUACUCCUUGUUUAACCAACAACGGAUUACAAUGUUAAAACUUGAAACAAACAAACAAAACAAAAUGACAACUUUUAACGGUGGAUCUCUUGGCUCGU
rnacentral:misc_RNA from 1 species